UAAAUCAGUUAUCGUUUAUUUGAUAGUACCUUACUACUUGGAUAACCGUGGUAAUUCUAGAGCUAAUACAUGCUAAAACCCCAACUUCGGGAGGGGUGUAUUUAUUAGAUAAAAAACCAAUGCCCUUCGGGGCUCUUUGGUGAUUCAUGAUAACUUAACGGAUCGCAUGGCCUUGCGCCGGCGACGGUUCAUUCAAAUUUCUGCCCUAUCAACUUUCGAUGGUAAGGUAUUGGCUUACCAUGGUUUCAACGGGUAACGGGGAAUUAGGGUUCGAUUCCGGAGAGGGAGCCUGAGAAACGGCUACCACAUCCAAGGAAGGCAGCAGGCGCGCAAAUUACCCAAUCCCGACACGGGGAGGUAGUGACAAUAAAUACUGAUACAGGGCUCUUUUGGGUCUUGUAAUUGGAAUGAGUACAAUUUAAACCCCUUAACGAGGAACAAUUGGAGGGCAAGUCUGGUGCCAGCAGCCGCGGUAAUUCCAGCUCCAAUAGCGUAUAUUAAAGUUGUUGCAGUUAAAAAGCUCGUAGUUGAAACUUGGGCCUGGCUGUCUGGUCCGCCUCACCGCGUGUACUGGUUCGGCCGGGCCUUUCCUUCUGGAGAGCCUCAUGCCCUUCACUGGGUGUGUUGGGGAACCAGGACUUUUACUUUGAAAAAAUUAGAGUGUUCAAAGCAGGCCUUUGCUCGAAUACGUUAGCAUGGAAUAAUAGAAUAGGACGUGCGAUCCUAUUUUGUUGGUUUCUAGGACCGCCGUAAUGAUUAAUAGGGAUAGUCGGGGGCAUCAGUAUUCAAUUGUCAGAGGUGAAAUUCUUGGAUUUAUUGAAGACUAACUACUGCGAAAGCAUUUGCCAAGGAUGUUUUCAUUAAUCAGUGAACGAAAGUUAGGGGAUCGAAGACGAUCAGAUACCGUCGUAGUCUUAACCGUAAACUAUGCCGACUAGGGAUCGGGCGAUGUUAUUAUUUUGACUCG
rnacentral:rRNA from 1 species